CCUGGUGAACCUCCCAUUCCUGUCCUGACUUUGCCAUGGGCACCAGGCUCCUCUGCUGGGUGACCUUCUGUCUCCUAGGGACAGGUCACACCAAUACUGGAGUGUCCCAGUCCCCCAGGAUUAUAGUCACAGAGAGGGGACAGAAUGUGUCUCUCCGGUGUGAUCCAAUUUCUGGACAUGUUGGUCUUUACUGGUAUCAACAGAGGCUGGGGCAGGGCCCGGAGUUUUUGAUUUACUUUCAGAACAAGGAGCCCGUAGACAAAUCAGGGAUGCCUAAAGAGCGGUUCUAUGCUAAGAGGUCUGAUGGCUCCUACUCCACUCUGAAGAUCCAGCGUGUAGAGCAGGGGGACUCGGCCGUGUACCUCUGUGCCAGCAGCUUAACCACAGCGCUGCAGAGUCACCCUCUUCCUGCUCUCAAACCCUCAUGCACUCACCUCUCUUCAGAGUUACCAAAGUCCUUAACAAAGGAGUGGAUUAAGUGCUUUGGGACUUUAAUUGCUUUUCUGAUAGUGGGAAUUCAGGAAAUGACCUUUGAAAUACAGUAA